CCAGCGGCCACUGACACUCGCAAUGUCCGAGUGGUACUGACGGGGCAGCCUCCCGCUGGCUCCACCUUCCAGGAAAGAGGUACAAUCCCCUUUCGAAUUCUGAAGUUGCACUGCAAGCGAUGGUUGGCUACAGUAAUGCUGAGAUGAAAAACACAGACCCAUGUUGCAGGGGGUCACCGGUGGCCAAGGACAGCCAGAUGGCCAGAAGUGCUCUGGUCUCCCGAGUUCUGGAAAAUCGACCAACACCCUUAACAUUUCACCUCACUGCCUUCCAAAACAUGUCUUAUCUCUUGUGGAGAGAAUGUGACGAAAAAGGAUCCAGAACCAAGUUCAGAAGGCCUUCGGCCCUGGACCACUCCACCAUUUGGAGGUAAGGCCCCAUGU